UAUCACAUGUGAUAAAUUUCACAUGGUCAACUUGGUUGACAGAAAACUGUGAAGCAUUCUGUGCAUAUAUUCAUAUUAAAACUUAAAGAAUUUACUUUCAAAUGCCAUGACAUACAUUUUUAUAUUAUCUUGCUUGUCUUAACAAGAUUCUAUGGUUUAGCUUUUGGGUGCGAAUUGGCCUUCUGUGCACUUCUUUAAUUUCUGAAAAUUUAUUUUAUAAACAAAAAAUUAUUUUUUAAAAAAUAGUUUUUUAAAGCAAUUCUACCCUAACAAACAUGCUGAUUUGAAAGUUUUGGAUGUGGGUAUAAGACGAAAACGCUCACCAUUAUGUUGACUCUUUUGUUGUCGCUCUCUUCAGAUUUGAAGUGACCUGCAAAGGAAUCUGGAAUACUAGUAAUGGGAGAUUUUAUUUUGCCUGCGUAAUCUGUGAGGACUGAUGCAAGAACAAUACCUUCACCCUGCUGUCAUAUGUAUGAUUUGGUUCUCUUGUCUUAACAAAGCUUAACAUUCAGUGAUCUCCUCAUAAGUACAUUAGUGCGUUGAUGUUUCAACAGUUGUUUCACAUUUUCGGUUACGCUGCAAUAUGGCGCGCAUAAAAGCUGAAUGCUCCCUUCAAUCAUUGAUCAGAAGUCAGCGACAUGGAAAACGCAGAACAAAGUUCGCCCAGAACAAAUCGUUAAUAUCUUAGAAAAAAGAUAAAAAGAAAACGGAUGUAUAAUUAAACUGCGAAAGCUGUCACACAAUUUUAAUCUCUCACUCAAAUACCUGAUCACAACAGAUCAAAUAGCCAGCCCAAGUGUUACC